rnacentral:rRNA from 1 species
GACGAACGCUGGCGGCGUGCCUAAUACAUGCAAGUCGAACGCUUCUUUCCUCCCGAGUGCUUGCACUCGAUUGGAAAGAGGAGUGGCGGACGGGUGAGUAACACGUGGGUAACCUGCCCAUCAGAGGGGGAUAACACUUGGAAACAGGUGCUAAUACCGCAUAACAGUUUAUGCCGCAUGGCAUAAGAGUGAAAGGCGCUUUCGGGUGUCGCUGAUGGAUGGACCCGCGGUGCAUUAGCUAGUUGGUGAGGUAACGGCUCACCAAGGCCACGAUGCGUAGCCGACCUGAGAGGGUGAUCGGCCACACUGGGACUGAGACACGGCCCAGACUCCUACGGGAGGCAGCAGUAGGGAAUCUUCGGCAAUGGACGAAAGUCUGACCGAGCAACGCCGCGUGAGUGAAGAAGGUUUUCGGAUCGUAAAACUCUGUUGUUAGAGAAGAACAAGGACGUUAGUAACUGAACAUCCCCUGACGGUAUCUAACCAGAAAGCCACGGCUAACUACGUGCCAGCCGCCGCAGUAA